rnacentral:lncRNA from 1 species
CUGGGGAUAGGGGAACUGAAUCAAGAGAUUCCAUACCGAAGGCAGAAAAGAAGGUCAGUGUUACUUCCUUUAGCUGCUAUGUGGGUAUACCGUGGUCACCCAGGACAUGCGAUUUCUGCAUCUUCUAGGAGUUCUUGAUCAGAAUGGCUUCGGGAUGGUUUUACAUGUCCUGCAUGGUGCUGGGAUCCCUGGGAUCAAUGUGCAUCCUCUUCACUACCUACUGGAUGCAGUACUGGCGCGGUGGCUUUGCCUGGGAUGGCACUGUGCUCAUGUUCAACUGGCACCCAGUGCUCAUGGUCUCCGGCAUGGUGGUGCUCUAUGGAGCCGUGGUUCCUGGGCUUUGCCGUCUUUCUCCUGCCCUGGGCAUCCCAGUGGCUGCGAAGCCUCCUGAAGCCUGUGCAUGUCUUCUUUGGAGCCUGCAUCCUUUCCCUGUCCAUCGCCUCUGUUAUUUCUGGCAUCAAUGAGAAGCUCUUCUUUGUUUUGAAAAAUGCCACCAGGCCUUACUCCAGCCUUCCUGGUGAGGCUGUCUUUGCCAACAGCACAGGGAUCUUGGUAGUGUCUUUUGGCUUGCUGGUUCUCUAUAUUCUUCUGGCUUCUUCAUGGAGACGUCCAGAUCCAGGAGCUCUGACUGACAGACAGCCCCUGUUGCAUGACAGGGAGUGAAGCCGGCAGGGCUCCCGGGAACAGUUGGAGAUGCAGUCUGCUCCCUCAGAAGCUCUGCUGUACUGGGGCUCCCGGCUGGUUUCAGCAACAGACUUCUCUUGGGCCAGAGACCAAACUUGCUACUCCAGUUCCAGGCUUGCUCUCCAGCCACUUGCUGUUCAUCUGCUUUUCU